UACGGAGGAUGCGAGCGUUAUCCGGAUUUAUUGGGUUUAAAGGGUGCGUAGGCGGAUCGUUAAGUCAGUGGUCAAAUUGAGGGGCUCAACCCCUUCCCGCCAUUGAAACUGGCGAUCUUGAGUGGAAGAGAAGUAUGCGGAAUGCGUGGUGUAGCGGUGAAAUGCAUAGAUAUCACGCAGAACCCCGAUUGCGAAGGCAGCAUGCCGGCUUCCGACUGACGCUGGAGCACGAAAGCGUGGGGAUCGAACAGG
rnacentral:rRNA from 1 species